AUUGAACGCUGGCGGCAGGCCUAACACAUGCAAGUCGAGCGAGCGGCGGACGGGUGAGUAAUGUAUGGGGACUGCCCGAUAGCGGGCGAUAACUACUGGAAACGGUAGCUAAUCCCGCAUACUAUCGGAUAACCCAUUGGGGAUUAGCUAGUAGGUGAGGUAAUGGCGCACCUAGGCGACGAUCCCUAGCCGGUCUGAGAGGAUGAUCAGCCACACUGGGACUGAGACACGGCCCAGACUCCUACGGAGGCAGCAGUGGGGAAUAUUGCACAAUGGGCGCAAGCCUGAUGCAGCCAUGCCGCGUGUAUGAAGAAGGCCCUAGGGUUGUAAAGUACUGUCAGUCGGGAGGCGUUACCGACAGAAAAAGCACCGGCUAACUCCGUGCCAGCCGCCGCGGUAAUUC
rnacentral:rRNA from 1 species